GUCCGAUGUGGGUGAGCUCCAUCACAUUCAGGGUGUAGUUGGUGCGAUGUCCUCGCUCAUCAAACUGAACCCAACCUGUCAGCCCCUCCAGACGCACCUGCACAGGCACAAACUUGUUAACAUCAGGCAUCAGGGGGCGGGAGGGUUUGCAAGACACUCCCCAGCAUUGCCACGGCGAGAUAUAUCGAUCCGUUGCCGCCGGAGGUUCUGAAAAGCCGUCGCCAUGACGCUGACGCCAUCGUAGGUCAGAGCUCCUGUGUACUGAGGAGGAGUGUGCAUUCAUUUUUAUUAUGCCAUUUGCGGCUUCACUUCAGUUAAACACAGGAAGGUUUUUAUCGUGAAGCAACCACAGGACACCUUUGCCACCCAUCCAAAAUCUACAACCCUGGUGUGGGUGGAUGGAUCAUCAUCCAUGAUUAAAAUCCAACUGACAUUAAA